UUUACAUUGAUUCAUAACAGUAGCAAAAUUACAGUUAUGAAAUAGCAACGAAAAUAAUUUUAUGCUUGGGGUCACCACAACAUGAGGUACUGUAUUAAAGGGUCGUGGUAUUAGAAUGGUUGAGCACCACUGCUCUAGGGCCACAGGAGAAG